GCAGUCACUCUCCCUUCUCCCGGAGGAGCGAGGACCUAUAAGGAAGUGAAGGACAACACGUUGUAUCCCAUACGCUGCCAUCUCAGGUUUCAGCUCCUCAGCUAAAGUGAUGGAUUCCUUCUUUCUUUCUGACCCCAACAUCAGUGGAAGAACUUGAUCUGGUUGCCAUGGAGACCAGCCACUGACUUCAGAGUGCCUGUUUAUUAAAGAUGAAAGUAACUUAUGCCUGGCUGAUCUAGCAGCUGUCAGAGAAAGAUUCGGCUGUUGGCAAAAGAAGUCACUAAUUUUGAGGCAUGAUCAUUCACUUAAGAGAGAGACGGCCCUGCCUGCAUCUUCCCAGAGGAGCCGGGCAGUGUGGUUAAGAAUUCACAAGCUAAACUGUCAAAGCUCCAUAGAGCUCUUGUUGCUCCUCCCUGUAGGACGAGAACCUACCCUCGUACAGUACAACUGAUCUCUGGCUCUCAGCAGACCCGUCACCGAGAACCAUGCCAUCCCACCUGGCCAGCUGCCACGAACCCCUUUGGAUGCAAUACACAGCCUGAAGCUGCUCACUUCUGUGGAUAUUGCCCUCCUGGCUACGCUGCAAGAGAGAGCCCUGCUGACUAGAGUUCCCCCAGCCCUAAUCCUACCUGGUUACGGGUCCUUUUCUUUUCCCACCACGUGUGCUGCCAAGCUUGCCCAGUGAGUUUGGCUCAUGAUGUUAUCACAACAUAGGGUUAAUUUUACGGGUGUCUCUCUCCGUGGUAAACAAGUUAUUCACAUUAUCUGUCAUCCCCAUUAAUCCUGCUCGGGGAAACUGGAAGGAGCAGCUUUAAGUGGUUACGCUUUGCCCUGUGUGACCCCACCCCUAGAGCUCAUUGGUUCAGGACGUACUCCUAACCAACAGGCAGUCAAUCAAUAGGCUUGUCAGCAACUCAUUUCAUAACCUGGCACUCAUACACAUAAAAGCUGGGUUAAUCCUUGCUUCUUUCUUGGAAAUAUAAACAGAGAAAUGACAAGAAAGAAAGAUGUAGCAGGUUGCUUAGGAACAAGAAAAUAAGAGUGGAAGCCACAAUGGGUCAUCAUAAUAAGUCCAAAUUGCAAAAUAUUGAAACUAUGAGCAAGCAGAAGUGAUGGAGGAGAGAAGAGUUUCAAGCCAAGGGAAACAAGAAGCUGAGAGAAGCAUCUAGGUCAAUGGGCAUGACCUUCCAGCCCCUGCCACAGAGCCCUAGAGUCUCCUGAAACUAGAGUAGCUCCCCAGUCCCAGGGCUCUGAGCUUGCCCCCUCCAUCUGUGGAAGACCAACUCCACAUUUAGUUUUACAAGAAAACUCCCU
rnacentral:lncRNA from 1 species